CUGCUGCCGAUCUCGCCGCUGUUACCGCCGCGCUCGGGGGCGGCGAGGCCGAGAGGAGGCCUUGCGCCGGGGCGGGCUGAGCGGCUCGCAGGGCCGGCGGCGGGCUGCUGGCCGCCUCGUAGUGCGCAGAUGCUAAGCCAAGAUGAUGCAUCUUUCCACUUGCACCUGCAAAAAUGCACAAGAGACUUAUGACUGAGACAUAGCCUGAAGAAAGUUAAUGUGGUUGUUAGUAGUCUCUGUCACAAAUGGCAAGACUAUGGAUGGCUCUGGUCUUUUUCCUCAGACCUUGAUGAAACCUAGAAAGGACAGAAAGUUGAUUUUGCUAAAGGAGCAGCAGCUGUAAGGAAAAAAAAAAAAGAGAGAAAAAUCAAGCAAAAAAAAGCUUGAGGAAGCCAAGGACAAGAACUACAACUGGUUAUGACUAAUCUGUUACAAGCUUUAAUUUUCUUGUACCUUAGUGGAUCUUUUAACCUAAUUUAUAGAGUCUAUUCCUUUUUAAUUUCUUUUAAAAGUUAAGACUUCUUUCAUAAAGUACAGGGAGUACAUGAAGCUUGUAUACUUAGUUUAUUUUGUAUACUUAGCUUAGAAAUCUGUUAGCAUGUAGAGCAACGAUGCAGCAACGACAUUCAGAUUUUUGAUUAAAAAUAGGUUAGUAAAUCACAAGCAAUAAACCUGAAGUAUCUCACACCCCUUUGCCAUGCCCUCACUUUUCAGUGAUAGUUAAAGAAUGAUAUCAAAAAUUCAUUUAUGUUUGGCUGCUUGACAUGGCCAAUGCAAAUAAAUCACAUAAGCUUAGGAAAACAGGUAAUUAUUUAUCAGCAAGCUCAUUCAUCUCCAGCCAGGCUUAAAAAAAAAAAAAAAGAA